rnacentral:tRNA from 1 species
UGGCUCAGUGGAUAGAGCGUCGGCCCGCCGACCCCAGGGUCCCGGGUUCGAUUCCCGG